GAUGAACGCUGGCGGCGUGCCUAAUACAUGCAAGUCGAGCGAACAGACGAGGAGCUUGCUCCUCUGACGUUAGCGGCGGACGGGUGAGUAACACGUGGAUAACCUGCCUAUAAGACUGGGAUAACUUCGGGAAACCGGAGCUAAUACCGGAUAAUAUAUUGAACCGCAUGGUUCAAUAGUGAAAGACGGUUUUGCUGUCACUUAUAGAUGGAUCCGCGCCGCAUUAGCUAGUUGGUAAGGUAACGGCUUACCAAGGCAACGAUGCGUAGCCGACCUGAGAGGGGGAUCGGCCACACUGGAACUGAGACACGGUCCAGACUCCUACGGGAGGCAGCAGUAGGGAAUCUUCCGCAAUGGGCGAAAGCCUGACGGAGCAACGCCGCGUGAGUGAUGAAGGUCUUCGGAUCGUAAAACUCUGUUAUUAGGGAAGAACAAAUGUGUAAGUAACUAUGCACGUCUUGACGGUACCUAAUCAGAAAGCCACGGCUAACUACGUG
rnacentral:rRNA from 1 species